UACGUAGGGAGCAAGCGUUGUCCGGAAUCAUUGGGCGUAAAGCGCGCGUAGGCGGCCUCGUAAGUCCGUUGUGAAAGUCAAAGGCUCAACCUUUGAAAGCCGAUGGAUACUGUGAGGCUAGAGUCCGGAAGAGGCGAGUGGAAUUCCUGGUGUAGCGGUGGAAUGCGCAGGAUAAUCAGGAGGAGCACCAAUAGCGAAGGCAGCUCGCUGGGACGGUACUGACGCUAAGGCGCGAAAGCGUGGGGAGCGAACAGGA
rnacentral:rRNA from 1 species